CCUUUGAUUUGUUCGCUACGAGCGCGUCUCUCUCGCUUUCUUCUUUUGCUGUCGCCUAAAAGCGUGGGUGGGUGCGAAACAACGGAGCGCAGUGAAGCGAAGAAGAGGAGAGGCCGAGAACCUGCCUGCCUGCUUGCCUUCCUUCCUUCCUUCCGUUGCCCUAAUCAUACCCCUUCUUUCUGCUUUAUUCUCCCCUCCUCUGCUCUGCGAAUCCGCCUUCUUUGCUCGCUUCCUUCCGCAUAUAUCUUCUUUAUCGUCCGGUACUGCAAUGGUAGUUCAAGCCCAAUACCGUUCCAACGUUCUGCUACUAAAUGGAAGCGAGCUGGAGGCGAAGGAAAUGGAACCCCUUUUCCUUGAUCAGUCCCUGGUGUUCUUCGCCAAUGGAGCGAAUGGGAAUCCGAGGAAGCGGGGCAGGGAGGUCACGAGCGUUCCAAUGGCUUCGAUGCCGCAGCAGAGCCAGCCCGUCAACCUCUUCUCCCUGCAGCCACUCCCCGUCUCUGCACCCCUCCCGCCACCGACGCUUGUGAGCCUCGCCGAGCUCCGAACACUCCCCCGUCCCCUCGUCUCCACCGGCCUCCGUCUCGCUUUCGGAGACCAAAACCAGCAUCAGAGCCAGAACCAGUCCAAUCCGCUUCUAUGUUCAUCUUCUCCUGCUUCCUCGUCUCUCUUCUCCUCCCUUCUCUUCGAAGAUCUCGCCGCACAGAUCAAUCAACAGAAGGAAGAAAUCGAACAGUUCCUCCACGCCCAGGGAGAGCAACUGCAGCGGACGUUGGCAGAGAAGCGGCAGAAGCACUACGGGGCUUUGUUGGGCGCGGCGGAGAAGUCGGCUGCCCGGAGGUUGCGGGAGAAGGAGGCAGAGGUGGAGCGGGAGGCGCUGCGGAGCUCCGAGCUCGAGGACCGCCUCGCCCGCCUCCGAACCGAGUCGAUGGCGUGGCAAGCCAAGGCCAUGGCGGACCAGGUGACGGCCGCCUCACUCCACGCCCAACUCCAACACGCCGCGGCCACUGCGGCGACGGCGCCCCAGGGGAAUCCGGGCGGGUGCGGAGACCCCCUUCCAGCCGAGGACGCCGAGUCGGCCAACGUAAACCCGGGCCAUGCCGAGCCCGAGCACGCGUGCCGCACGUGCCGGCGUCGUCCAGCCUCGGUGGUGCUCGUCCCGUGCCGCCACCUCUGCCUCUGCGACGCCUGCGACGGCACCGCCGAGUCGUGCCCCGUAUGCCGCAGCAUCAGAACCGGAAGCAUCCACGUGGUUCUCUCGUGAGCCCACGAGUCCCUUCACCGCCGUCCGCCACCGUUUACUGCAUCACCCACCGUCCAAACUCCGAAAAUUAAAAAUAUAAUAUAAAUAACAAAAAAAAAGGUGUGUCGCUGCAAAUGUCAUUUUUUGGUCGUCGUAAUAUAAUUAAAGGCCGUCGUGGAGUCUUCCGCGACCGUCAGAUCAGGAUCAUGGAGAACAUGGCACGACUUUUAAUACUAGACGUCUUCCGAUCUCUAUCCAAGACUGCCACCUAUCGAUCCUCAAGUCUCGAUCUUCUAAUCUUCCAAGUCCGACGUCUCAAUCUCCCAUUCUUCCAAUUCUUACGUCUCAAUCGUCUCCCGAUAAGAUCCCAUAUGUGAUUAUGAUGCCCGUCCAUCGUGGAGAUCGAGGAGGCUAAAACUAUGAGAACUCUGACACUGUUCUUAACUUGGGGAAGAAGUGAGCAUCAACUCGAUUUGUAGCAGAUGGAGAUCACAAAGAACAAACGUAGCAUAUAAGAACCCAGUCAAAAGUGUCAUGCUACGGCAAAUACUUGUCAUCUAACUAGUCUCGCAAAUCCUAAACUAAGAUCCCAUGAUUUAACAGGUUCAUUGAUCUGCUAGUUUGACUCGAAAUCUCUCGAUUUUAAGAUGUAAGCAUGCCAUGGAGCACAUCUCUCCUCCCUUCGAUCCACUAAUAAGAAUCUGAUGGGAGUAAUCGUGCUGAGGUCUGACCAUCGGCCAUCGCAUUAAUGGUCGAACUCGAAGGUGCAAUCCAUAGCUUGAAAGACGGGGAACGCACAUGGCGUGGUUUGCAUUGAAUCAAGCAAGAGGGAAAGAAGCCCGUUCGGCACAUAUCAUUCAAUUCUUGUCCUCCCUCGGCUUGCUUCGCAAGGGGGACCUUCUCAUGUGAUGUCGGUCGUUAAAGGCACAAAUAGUACAUGAUAAGACGACUUUUGUGCUUACUACA